GAUGAAGAACGUAGCGAAAUGCGAUAUGUAAUGCGAAUUGCAGAAUUCCAGUGAGUCAUCGAAUCGUUGAACGCACAUUGCGCCCUUUGGUAUUCCGAAGGGCAUGCCUGUUCGAGCGUCAUUAUCACCCCUCAAGCCCUCGGCUUGGUGUUGGACGGUUUGGUGGAGGCCCCCUCGGGGGCUCCUGCCCCUCCCAAAGACAAUGACGGCGGCCUCGUUGGACCCCCGGUACACUGAGUUCUUCACGGGACACGUAUCGGACACAUGGGUUUACGGGACACGGUCUGCCUCCCCUCAGGGAGAAUCUUUCUAAGGUUGACCUCGGAUCAGGUAGGGAUACCCGCUGAACUUAAGCAUAUCAAUAAGCGGAGGA
rnacentral:misc_RNA from 1 species